AGUGAACGCUGGCGGUAGGCCUAACACAUGCAAGUCGAACGGCAGCACAGGAGAGCUUGCUCUCUGGGUGGCGAGUGGCGGACGGGCGAGGAAUACAUCGGAAUCUACUCUGUCGUGGGGGAUAACGUAGGGAGACUUACGCUAAUACCGCAUACGACCUACGGGUGAAAGCAGGGGAUCUUCGGACCUUGCGCGAUUGAAUGAGCCGAUGUCGGAUUAGCUAGUUGGCGGGGUAAAGGCCCACCAAGGCGACGAUCCGUAGCUGGUCUGAGAGGAUGAUCAGCCACACUGGAACUGAGACACGGUCCAGACUCCUACGGGAGGCAGCAGUGGGGAAUAUUGGACAAUGGGCGCAAGCCUGAUCCAGCCAUACCGCGUGGGUGAAGAAGGCCUUCGGGUUGUAAAGCCCUUUUGUUGGGAAAGAAGUCCAGCUGGCUAAUACCCGGUUGGGAUGACGGUACCCAAAGAAUAAGCACCGGCUAACUUCGUGCCAGCCGCCGCGGUAA
rnacentral:rRNA from 1 species